GGCGAACGGGUGAGUAACACGUGGGCAAUCUGCCCUGCACUCUGGGACAAGCCCUGGAAACGGGGUCUAAUACCGGAUGACACUUUCUCUCGCAUGGGAGAAGGUUGAAAGCUCCGGCGGUGCAGGAUGAGCCCGCGGCCUAUCAGCUAGUUGGUGAGGUAGAAGCUCACCAAGGCGACGACGGGUAGCCGGCCUGAGAGGGCGACCGGCCACACUGGGACUGAGACACGGCCCAGACUCCUACGGGAGGCAGCAGUGGGGAAUAUUGCACAAUGGGCGAAAGCCUGAUGCAGCGACGCCGCGUGAGGGAUGACGGCCUUCGGGUUGUAAACCUCUUUCAGCAGGGAAGAAGCGCAAGUGACGGUACCUGCAGAAGAAGCGCCGGCUAACUACGUGCCAGCAGCCGCGGUAAUACGUAGGGCGCAAGCGUUGUCCGGAAUUAUUGGGCGUAAAGAGCUCGUAGGCGGCUUGUCACGUCGGUUGUGAAAGCCCGGGGCUUAACCCCGGGUCUGCAGUCGAUACGGGCAGGCUAGAGUGUGGUAGGGGAGAUCGGAAUUCCU
rnacentral:rRNA from 1 species